AUGAAGGUUGAACCCCUGUCCGUGGACACCUGUGAACCAUUGUGCACACUUUUUCCUGCAGUGAACCCUGUAGAUGUGGAUGUGGUUUAUUCCCAGGUCUGGAGCAUCCAGCCACCAGAAGACUCAGCAAACAUCAGAAGGACAAUUCUGGAGAACAAGGUGAGCUGGACUCCUGGAGAGUUCUUUCCCCUGUUGUCUCCCCCUCCAGCCAUGUUCCUUCUCUUCCUUCAACUGUGCAUCUCUCCUAGGACUCCCAUGUCAUCUACUCUAAUAUAAAGGAGACAUAACACUCAGAGGAAUUGGGAGACAGAUCACCAACAAGGACAGAGCAGCACUAAGGGCUGCGAAAAAUGACAAAAUGCCCAACCCUCAUGAAGCCUCACAGAUAGAAUGUGCUCCAAGGGCUGAGCAGACCAGCGGGUUCAUCAUUUUUGUUUUUAUCAUGUUAUUUCCCAAUGUCUUCUUUCAUUCAUUCAGUAUUUAUUGAGCUGCUGCCGCAUUCCAGAUGCCUUGUGGGGGGUUAUCUUUGUUAUCUUCUCUUUUAAAAAUUUUUUUAUUGAAAUUCAAUUUAGUUGACAUAUAAUGUAUUUUUAGUUUCAGAGGUAGAGUUUAGUGAUUCAUGUGAUGAACACUGGGUGUUAUAGUCAAUGUUCAUCACAUCACAUGCCCUCCUUAAUGCCCAUCACCCAGUCACCUCAUCCUCCCACCCUCCUCCCCUCCAGCAACCCUCACUCAGUUUGUUCCCUAGAGUUAAGAGUCUCUUAUGGUUUGCCUCCCUUAAUGUUUUUAUCUUAUUCUAUUUUUCCUUUCCUUCUCCUAUGUUCAUCUGUUUUGUUUCUUAAAUUCCACAUAUGAGAGAAAUCAUAUGAUAUUUGCUUCAAUGUUCAAAGAGAUGAGGAAGAAGAAUGAACACAAGAAACAAGUUUUCUUCUUGUCUGAGGUGUUGUGAACAGAACCUAUUUCUGGGCUUUGCUUUGUUUUCCAGACUGGGAUUUUGUUGUCUUUUGUUUCUACAAACAGACAUCUCAAGUUUUAAAGAAAUCCUCUCUUGCUCUUGUGAAAACUUUAGAGUUCAGUUUGUGGGAGGGAACAGCAGCUUGAAUUAGCUUGCCAUAUUUGUCCUUUCUUGAAUGCUUGGUUUGUAUAUUGAUCCACAUUGAUUUAAAAGUAACGAGGAUAUUUAUAUCUUCUUGAAAUGCUAAGUGUUUUAUGUUCAUUUGCACCAUCAUGUAGGGAGUAAGGUCACAGCCUUUGAGACCCCCUCCCUAGGGUGGUGUCCCAACCUCAUCCCCCACUGAAUGUGUGGUCUUGAACAAACUACUUAACUUCUGUGUACUUCAGUUUCUUCAUCUUUAAACGGGGAAGACCAUUUGUUAAAUGUUCAUAAAUCACAUAGAACAAUGUCUGGCAUAUAAGUAGCACUAAUUAAUUAUUCAACAAAUAAAAUAUGCAUAAUUAUCA
rnacentral:lncRNA from 1 species